rnacentral:rRNA from 1 species
GACGAACGCUGGCGGCGUGCCUAAUACAUGCAAGUUGAGCGCUGAAGGUUGGUACUUGUACCAACUGGAUGAGCAGCGAACGGGUGAGUAACGCGUGGGGAAUCUGCCUUUGAGCGGGGGACAACAUUUGGAAACGAAUGCUAAUACCGCAUAAAAACUUUAAACACAAGUUUUAAGUUUGAAAGAUGCAAUUGCAUCACUCAAAGAUGAUCCCGCGUUGUAUUAGCUAGUUGGUGAGGUAAAGGCUCACCAAGGCGAUGAUACAUAGCCGACCUGAGAGGGUGAUCGGCCACAUUGGGACUGAGACACGGCCCAAACUCCUACGGGAGGCAGCAGUAGGGAAUCUUCGGCAAUGGACGAAAGUCUGACCGAGCAACGCCGCGUGAGUGAAGAAGGUUUUCGGAUCGUAAAACUCUGUUGGUAGAGAAGAACGUUGGUGAGAGUGGAAAGCUCAUCAAGUAACGGUAACUACCCAGAAAGGGACGGCUAACUACGUG